rnacentral:rRNA from 1 species
GACGAACGCUGGCGGCGUGCUUAACACAUGCAAGUCGAACGGAAAGGCCCUGCUUUUGUGGGGUGCUCGAGUGGCGAUCGGGUGAGUAACACGUGAGUAACCUGCCCUUGACUUUGGGAUAACUUCAGGAAACUGGGGCUAAUACCGGAUAGGAGCUCCUGCUGCAUGGAGGGGGUUGGAAAGUUUCGGCGGUUGGGGAUGGACUCGCGGCUUAUCAGCUUGUUGGUGGGGUAGGGGCUUACCAAGGCUUUGACGGGUAGCAGGCAUGAGAGGGUGACCGGACAGAUUGGGCCUGAGAUACGGCCAAGAGUGCUACGGGAGGCAGCAGGGGGGAAUAUUGCACAAUGGGCGGAAGCCUGAUGCAGCAACGCCGCGUGCGGGAUAACGGCCUUUGGGUUGUAAACAGCUCUCGCCUGUGACGAAGCGUGAGUGACGGUAAUGGGUAAAGAAGCACCGGCUAACUACGUG